UUUUUUUUUUUUUUUUUUUUUUUUGCGGAAAGGAAGACAAAGUGAGAAAGAGUUGGAGAUGGCCGAGAACUGAGAUGAAUUUUUGCAAUCAUUUUAUAACGUUUAAGGGGCAAAACAUCCUCCCUCACACCUAUUCGAUAUCGAGAUUUCGUCAAUUCUACGAUGCUGGUCGACAAAUUUCUGACGCGACAUCCAUCAUCAUACCAAUACUUAAACCUUGUUUUCUAACUUGAAUUAAAAGGAGUGGGAUUGGCUUUAUUAGGAUCGAUCAAUAUACUUACCAGGUCUUGACUAUUCAAUAUUAUUCGGACGCAGACACUUACCAUUUUAGCAAAGAAAGUUUGCAGAUUGAAGUCCGUGUCUGUUCAGCAUACAUGUUCUAUAUGGGUGUUCUGUACGCGAAUUUUGUGCAAAAGCUUUCUUAAUAUGAUCCUACAAGUUUCGCAUAAAAGUUCUCUUUGUUUACAAAUAUCUUGUGUUUGCAUUAUUAGAUGCUACUAUUGUUCGGUAUAUUAAUUCCGUCUCUGUUCUGCAUACAUGUUCUAUACACAAGUUCUAUAUACAGCUUUUAUACAAACGCUUUCUUACACAUAUUUUGGUUAUGCAUCGUUAAAUGCUGCAUAAUUCUUAAUUGAAUUGUAAAAAUAUAGACGUAAGACAAUGCAUUUUUAUUGCAAUAUGAAAAGCAUUUCUUUGCUGCCUUGUGGCGUAGAUCGAAGUGUGGAAGUCGGCAGGAUGCUCAGACUUGGCCGCCAUUCCUGCUGUCUCUGCUGCUCUUGCUGCUACUCCUGCUGCUCCUCCUGCUGUUGCUACUCCUCCUCCUCCUGCUGCUGCUCCUCCUCCUGCCGCUGCUGUUACUGCUGCUCCGCCUGCUAUUCCUGCUAUUCCUGUCGGUUCUGUUAAAUUUUAGGUUCCUCUUCCUCCUCUUCUUCAGCUUCUCCUCCUUGUUCUGCUCCUCCUCCUCAAUCUCUUCUUCUUCUCCUC